UAGUACAGUUAACGGUACCAGUACUAGGACAGUAUUAGUACCGUUAACGGUACCAGUACUAGGACAGUAUUAGUACCAUUAACGGUACCAAUACUAGGACAGUAUUAGUACCUACUGGUAUCGUUAACGGUACUAAUACUGUCCUAAAGGAGCGAUACCCUAAAACAUGUGAAGACGUCACCGUGGAAACAGAUGUUUGAUUGAUCAGGAUAUUAAUCAAUAGUCAGUUGGGUUUCACGUUAUUUCUUUGACUCGUCUAGAAGAUUUAAAUCAGAAAGACAAUCAUCAUGAGUUAGUCCAGAUGUUGGAGAUGAUAAUCAUCUGUAAUAAUUAAACAUGUUCAGGGUUAAAGCCUUUUCUUUUAUUUUGAAAUCCCUCCUGCUGGUUUCCUGUCUGUGGUUCCUUCUGAUGUAACAGCUCGUCUCUCCACAACA